AUUGAACGCUGGCGGCAUGCCUAACACAUGCAAGUCGAACGGCAGCACGGGAGCUUGCUCCUGGUGGCGAGUGGCGAACGGGUGAGUAAUAUAUCGGAACGUGCCCAGGUGUGGGGGAUAGUCCGGCGAAAGACGGAUAAAUACCGCAUACGAUCUACGGAUGAAAGCGGGGGAUCGCAAGACCUCGCGCUAUGAGAGCGGCCGAUCUCUGAUUAGCUAGGUGGUGUGGGAAAGGCUCACCAGGGCGACGCUCCGUAGCUGGUCUGAGAGGACGACCAGCCACACUGGAACUGAGACACGGUCCAGACUCCUACGGGAGGCAGCAGUGGGGAAUAUUGGACAAUGGGGGAAACCCUGAUCCAGCAAUGCCGAGUGAGUGAAGAAGGUCUUCGGGUUGUAAAGCUCUUUUGUCAGGGAAGAAGCGGUGCUAGCUAAUAUCCAGAGGUAAUGACGGUACCUGAAGAAUAAGCACCGGCUAACUCCGUGCCAGCAGCCGCUGUAA
rnacentral:rRNA from 1 species